rnacentral:lncRNA from 1 species
AGCUAUAAAGUUAGUCUUGCAAAUACAAAAACACAAGGACUGCCACCACUACUAGGGGUGGGCGUGGGUUGGAUUGGGUCGAUUUUCGCCCAACCCUAACCCAACCCAACAUGAUCGAUUUGGUCGAAAUUUAACCCAGCCCAACCCGUGUAAAGUUUGAAACCCAACCCAAUCAAGUAUCGGUCGGGUUGGGUUAGGUUGGUCGAUUUAGGACAACUUGUUAAUAAAGAUUAAAGUUAUUCAUUUUUGGGUGUAAAGCAUCACUAAUAUAGUCCCAGAGCCUAAAAAUUUACAAAACUAAUUACCACAGCAUAGAUAAAAUUCAACUGAGACACUAAAGAGCAGAAAUUACAACCAAUUUAGAAGUUGGUUUCUCACAAAAUUCUCUAAUAGUGGGACGGGAUUGGAACUUAUAAGGUAAAAAAAUUUCAUCAAUACAACAUGCUCCAAAUCAUUAAAUAGUGUCAGCAAAGAAGAAAUAGCAGAGAUGUAGUCAAAGAAGAGAUCACCUGAGAGAUGAGUCUGUUCAGAUUAGUAUAUGUUGGCCUCUCAAUGUCAAGUGACUUGCGGCAAAUAUCAUAGAUCGCCUCAUUGUCAAGAAGCACGGCAACAUCAGUGUGCUCCAACAAAGAGUGGGUCAAGAGAACAGAGUUGUAUGGCUCAACCACAACAGUCGAAACUUGCGAGGAUGGGUAAAUAGUGAACCCCAACUUUGAUUUCUUACCAUUCAACAGAAAGCCUCUCAAGCAAAAAAGAUUCAAGUCCAGAUCCAAUGCCCCCACCGACAACAUGGAACACCAUGAACCCUUACAAUCCAGUACAAUUAUUCGCAAGCUUUCGGAGCUUGAGUGAGAGCGAAAGCGAGAGGGAGGGAGAGGGAAUAGAGAGAUUUUAGGGCUUCUUUUGGAUUUGGGAGUGACCAAAUGAUUAGCCAUUUAUGCAUUUUUUUUUUUUUCAAGUUCGGGUUGGGUUGGGCGGAUUGGGUUGGUUUUUAUAGGUUAACCCACAACCCGACCCAACCCACCUACGUAGCCAAAAAAUCGAACCCACUUAAAAACAACAAAAAAACCGACCCAACCCGGUUGGGUCGGGUCGGGCGGUUGUACGGGUUGGGUCGGUUUUUGCCCACCCCUAACCACUACCCCCUCCGACUCCAAAAACCACUACUACCACCUCUAUCUUCAACAACCAAUGCCACCGCUCUUAUCUUCAAACUGUCAAACCCUCCCCUAUCUCAAACCCUCAAAACCCUAACCAUUAAAAUCUUUUGGGCAGAGCAAUAUCUUUCAAUGUUCUCUCAGUUGAUCAAAUUCUCAAAACCACAACUUCUACUUGAGCAAAUCCUCUCAAUCUCUUCUUACGCUGGCUUGGCCGAAGCAGAUGAUGGGAGCUCAUCGGAGAUGGCAUUAUUGAAUUUCGUCUAUUUCGUAGCUUCUCCCUCAACUGUCGGAAGUCCCCACCAUUUUUCCUUUAUUGCCUUAAUCGUGAUGAUAUCUGCCGCUGUUUCUGUAAGUCUCCACUGUUUGCCGAUGUUCCUUUUGAUUUUAUCAUUUUGCUCUAUACGAAGAGUGGUGGGGAAAGGGAUUGAUGGUUUGAAUAUGGAAAUGGUUGUGUUGGUGGUUUGAGAUGAAGGUGGUAGUGUUAGGUGAUAAGUCUAUUUUAUACAUUUUUAU